UCUGGUUGAUCCUGCCGGAGGUUACUGCUAUCGGUGUUCGAUUAAGCCAUGCGAGUCGAGAGGCGUCAUGGCCUCGGCGUACCGCUCAGUAACACGUGGACAACCUGCCCAAAGGUCCGGGGUAACCCCGGGAAACUGGGGAUAAUACCGGAUAAAUCAUGAGUACUGGAAGGUCUUGUGGUUGAAACUUCCGGGGCCUUUGGAUGGGUCUGCGGCUGAUUAGGUUGUUGCCGGUGUAACGUACCGUCAAGCCUGUAAUCAGUACGGGUUGUGGGAGCAAGAGCCCGGAGAUGGAUUCUGAGACACGAAUCCAGGCCCUACGGGGCGCAGCAGGCGCGAAAACUCUACAAUGCAGGCAACUGCGAUAGGGGAGCAUCGAGUGAUACUCAUUUUGGGUGUCUGUCCUCCCGUCUAAAAAACGGGAGUUAGCAAGGGCCGGGCAANACCGGUGCCAGCCGCCGCGGUAAUACCGGCGGCUCGAGUGGUAGCCGAUAUUAUUGAGUCUAAAGGGUCCGUAGCCGGCUUUGCAAGUCUUUUGGGAAAUCCAGCGGCUUAAACCGUUGGUCGUCCGGGAGAUACUACAUUGCUUGGGACUGGGAGAGGUAGGAGGUACUCAGGGGGUAGGAGUGAAAUCCUGUAAUCCUUUGGGGACCACCGGUGGCGAAGGCGUCCCUACCAGAACAGGUCCGACGGUGAGGGACGAGAGCUAGGGGCACGAACCGGAUUAGAUACCCGGGUAGUCCUAGCCGUAAACGAUGCUCGCUAGGUGUCACAACAAUCGUGAAUUGUUGUGGUGCCGUAGGGAAGCCGUGAAGCGAGCCACUUGGGAAGUACGACCGCAAGGUUGAAACUUAAAGGAAUUGGCGGGGGAGCAC
rnacentral:rRNA from 1 species